AAACUACACCGGUUGGCCUAACA
rnacentral:siRNA from 1 species